GGGUAAGGUCGGCGGGCAAGCGGGUGUAAUCCACAGCCAUCCGUUCUUGGGCAUGGUGGCUUCUGACCGCGGGGGUACCGAGAGUCUCCCGUCGGCCGAGUAGCAGCCAGGAAGGGGAGGCCGGGAUGGUUUUUUUACCUGUUGGCCGCUUAAAUCAAGGGCCGCCGGACCGGAAAGGGAUGGAGGGACCGGGGAUUUGGGGACUUGAAAACGAGUUGAGGAAAGGGAGCCUGUGGAAAUAGACUCCAGUCUGAGCAAUGUCGUUUCCCAGAGAAUGGUCUCGAAGUAACUUCUCGGUAAAGUCUUCACGGAACUUCCAGACCACACUUGCCUACUGGGAGACUUUUAGGACCCGAGACGUGUGCAGGCUUUUCCAGCCAAAAUGAAGUUUAAUCCCUUUGUGACUUCCGACCGAAGCAAGAAUCGCAAAAGGUAUUUCAAUGCACCUUCCCACAUUGGCAGGAAGAUUAUGUCUUCCCCUCUUUCCAAAGAGCUGAGACAGAAUUACAACGUGCGAUCCAUGCCCAUCCGAAAGGAUGAUGAAGUUCAGGUUGUACGAGGACACUAUAAAGGUCAGCAAAUUGGCAAAGUAGUCCAGGUUUACAGGAAGAAAUAUGUUAUCUACAUUGAACGGGUACAUUGAAUGGGUGCAGCGGGAAAAGGCUAAUGGCACAACUGUCCACGUAGGCAUUCACCCCAGCAAGGUGAUUAUCACUAGGCUAAAACUGGACAAAGACUGCAAAAAGAUCCUUGAACGGAAAGCCAAAUCUCGCCAAGUAGGAAAGGAAAAGGGCAAAUACAAGGAAGAAACAAUUGAGAAGAUGCAGGAAUAAAGUAAUCUUAUAUAAAAGCUUUGAUUAAAACUUGAAACAAAGGAAAAAAAAA